GUCUGUCUGCUUAAAUUGCGUUUCACUAAAGGGCCUARAAARUUUACGUAUGKGGAUCGCACKYUGACCCCUUUCUUUAWUUAGAAAGCGCGUGUCUUAGUUUCGCUUUGCUCAUACAAUUAGGUCCUGAAAGCAACGAACGUGACCGCAACCUCUUGUUGCCUUUAUACCAAACAUGUUUAUUCAUUUUUUAAUGUUCAUUCAUGAAAAAAGGCUUUUUAAACUAGAGGGACCGCUGUUACUUUCUUAAACCAGAGGAAGGUUGCGGCAAUAACAGGUCUGUGAUGCCCUUAGAUGUUCCGGGCUGCACACGUGCUACAAUGAUUAUUGCAGUGAGCAUCUCAUUUUUACACACCGCAUGCGCGAGUCCAUUUAUUCACCUUCGGGUGUUUUAAAUGUGUACCUCUGCGCGCGGUAAAGCCUGCUUCGAAAGUAAGUGGGUAAUCAAUUAGAAGUAAUGAUUUCCUUUUUUAGCACACAUAUAUACGGCGUCUAUGCCCGGGUUACCUUGUUGUAGCUUUUGUGUGUAUAGAUGUUUUUUCCGUAUGKGCGAUUGUCAAUUCAUGGUGGGGACAGACCAUUGUUAAUUGUUGGUCUCGGUCUUAACUAGGAAUGCCUUGUACGGGUCUUUGGUUCAACAAACCACCCGGGAAUACGUCCCUGCCCUUUGUACACACCGCCCGUCGCUCUUACCGAUGGACUUCUCUGUGAGUUUGAGGGACUGGGAACGCAGGAAUWUAUUUCUGCACACCUAUGGAAACUUAAACGAACAGUGUGGUCUAAAGGAAAGAGAAG
rnacentral:rRNA from 1 species